GUGAGACCGGGAUAACCCCGCGAAAGCGGGGCUAAUACCAGAUAUUAUGGCUGGCCCUCGGGUUCGGUCAUGAAAAGGUUGGUUCCCUUCGGGGUCUUCUGCUCACGGAUGAGCCUGUGGCCUAUUAGCUUGUUGGUGAGGUAACGGCUCACCAAGGCUGAGAUGGGUAGCCGGGCUGAGAGGCUGUCCGGCCAGACUGGGACUGAGACACUGCCCAGACUCCUACGGGAGGCAGCAGAGGAGAAUCAUCCGCAAUGGGCGCAAGCCUGACGGUGCGACGCCGCGUGGACGAUGAAGGCCUUCGGGUUGUAAAGUCCUGUCAGGAGCAACGAAACGGCGGCGGGUAAAUAGCCCGUUGCCGUGCCUAGCUCCGGAGGAAGAGCCGGCUAACUUCGUGCCAGCAGCAGCGGUAAUACGAAGGGCUCAAGCGUUGUUCGGAAUUACUGGGCAUAAAGGGCGUGUAGGCGGGCCUGCGUGUCGGGUAUGAAAGCCCUUGGCUCAACCAAGGAAUUGUGCCCGAAACUACAGGUCUUGAGUGCAGGAAGGGAGAGCGGAACUCCUGGUGUAGCGGUGAAAUGCGUUGAUAUCAGGAUGAACGCCGGUGGCGAAAGCGGCUCUCUGGCCUGCUACUGACGCUGAGGCGCGAAAGCUGGGGGAGCAAACGGGAUUAGAUACCCCGGUAGUCCUAGCCGUAAACGAUGGGCACUAAGUAGGGGUCGUUCCGAUACGGUCCCUGCCGUAGCUAAUGUGUUAAGUGCCCCGCCUGGGGAGUACGGCCGCAAGGCUAAAACUCAAAGGAAUUGACGGGGGCCCGCACAAGCGGUGGAGCAUGUGGCUCAAUUCGAGGCAACGCGAAGAACCUUAUCCUGGGCUUGACAUGCUGGUGGUACAAUCCCGAAAGGGGGAGGACUCCGUUCUACGGAGAGCCAGCACAGGUGCUGCAUGGCUGUCGUCAGCUCGUGUGGUGAGAUGUUGGGUUAAGUCCCGUAACGAGCGAAACCCUUGCCCUUAGUUGCCAACGGGUAAUGCCGGGGACUCUAAGGGGACUGCCGGUGUCAAACCGGAGGAAGGUGGGGAUGACGUCAAGUCCUCAUGGCCUUUAUGCCCAGGGCUGCACACGUGCUACAAUGGCCGGUACAAAGGGAAGCAAAACCGCGAGGUCAAGCCAACCCCAAAAAGCCGGUCUCAGUUCGGAUUGGAGGCUGCAACCCGCCUCCAUGAAGUCGGAAUCGCUAGUAAUCGCGGAUCAGCACGGCCGCGGUGAAUAUGUUCCCGGGCCUUGUACACACCGCCCGUCAAGCCACGAAAACAAGGGAUGCCCGAAGUCGCUGAUCCAACCUACCGCAAGGUGGGAGGAAGGCGCCGACGGUAGACCUAAUGAUCGGGACUAAGUCGUAACAAGGUA
rnacentral:rRNA from 1 species